rnacentral:rRNA from 1 species
CCUACGGGAGGCUGCAGUGAGGAAUAUUGGUCAAUGGCCGAGAGUCUGAACCAGCCAAGUCGCGUGAAGGAUGACUGCCCUACGGGUUGUAAACCUCUUUUAUCAAGGAAUAAAACGAGGCACGCGUGCCUCCUUGCAUGUACCCGAUGAAUAAGCAUCGGCUAACUCCGUGCCAGCAGCCGCGGUAAUACGGAGGAUUCGAGCGUUAUCCGGAUUUAUUGGGUUUAAAGGGAGCGCAGGUGGGUUGUUAAGUCAGCUGUGAAAGUUGGGGGCUCAACCGUAUAAUUGCAGUUGAUACUGGCAGUCUUGAGUGCGGGUGAGGUAGGCGGAAUGCGUGGUGUAGCGGUGAAAUGCUUAGAUAUCACGAAGAACCCCGAUUGCGAAGGCAGCGUACUGAACUGUAACUGACGUUGAUGCUCGAAAGUGUGGGUAUCGAACAGGAUUAGAUACCCCGAUAGUC